rnacentral:lncRNA from 1 species
CCCAUACAGAGACCCCGUGAGUGUGUGUAUCCCAAACAAUACAGAGCUGGAGACGAUGGGGCUGUGGGGGCAGCAUGAGUGGGCAGCACAGAAAAGAGAAGGAAACCCUGGAGAGCUGCCCAGAAGAGGAGGCAUGGAAACUGGGCUUGGUGAGCUGGCUAGAUGUCAACAGCAGGUGGUGGAAGAAAGAGCAUUUCUGGGUUCCGGGGACCUCCCCUCUGGAGCCCCUCGCCAGGCCCGAGCCCCCUGCCGCCAUCCCCUGACCGCUGGAGGGUGCCUGGGCCCAGCUUUGUGCCUGCUGCACUCCUGGGCUGAGCUCGUCCACUUUCAUCAUGAGCAGGAGCUUCUAGAAGCUUCAAACCAUCCCAUGUGGUUCCACUUACUUGCUGGCACCAAAGGCAGCCGUGUGUUUACAGAUUCCAGAGGAGACCCAGCCCAGAGCACACGAGGGACCCCACCUGGGAGCGCAGCCGCUGUCCUGGGGAAGCUACAAACAGGGGCGGAGGCGGGGUGCUGGGCGCCCAGACAGUCAGGGGAGGGCGUGGAGCCACUGCGGCUCCGGUGGGUCAGGCUCCGGCUCCCCCCACCGCCAUCUGCACGGGGGCGGCGUGGGGCUCCUGCUGCCUCUGCUGGGACCUGCGGGCACCAUCCCUCCCGAAGCUGCAGACCCUCGGUCUGUCCUUGUGCAAGAACAGAGAUGCUGAUUUUUGGCACACUGCCCGGGGCGUGCCUCUUCGAGUGUUUUAGAAGCUGGACGGUCCCCCAAGGGGGAGCCUGGGCUCAGUGCCCACGGGGCGGGCCCAUUCCCUGUAAAUGCUCCUCAUGUGCUGGGCAGUCCCUCAGGACCACUGUUGGGGGUGGGGGUCGUGCUGGCGACUGGGCUCCAGUCUGCCGCUGCCUGGAAACAGGCCACAGCUGCCAAGAGAGGCGACAAGCUUCUGGAGCAGCCUGCCUCCACCACCCACGGUCCCUGUCCUCCCGCUGGGGGCAGCCCGCUCUGUCCAGCCACCCAGGGGCCAGGAGUGGCGUGGGGGAGCCGCUGAGCACAGGGCCCAGGCCAGGCC